GUCCACGCCCUAAACGAUGAUGACUAGUUGUUGGAGGAGUUAAAUCCUUUAGUAACGCAGCUAACGCGUGAAGUCAUCCGCCUGGGGGAGUACGGUCGCAAGAUUAAAACUCAAAGGAAUUGACGGGGGCCCGCACAAGCGGUGGAUGAUGUGGUUUAAUUCGAUGCAACGCGAAAAACCUUACCUACCCUUGACAUGUCAGGAACGCUGCAGAAAUGCAGCGGUGCCCGAAAGGGACCUGAACACAGGUGCUGCAUGGCUGUCGU
rnacentral:rRNA from 1 species